CGGGCCACACGCUGUCCCCAGAGAUCUCUCCGGGCCGGUGGACGCGCAGCCGGGUUUAAACCGCUGCACCCGGUUUGCCCUCGUGCUGUCUCUCCUGGAUUCUGUGGGUCAGAGGAUUUCAUGCUCUUGGUAUAAAACAGACUGGACGGUCUUGUGCCUUCUGGGUCAGGAAUACAACGGCCGCUGAGGAUUUGAACGUACUCCCAGAAACUUUUGGAGGCUCUGCAGACUGGGAGACAGUGCUGCCUAAUACUGAAAGGACCAAGGAACUCUGGCUGUCCUCUGGAAUUCCAAAUAACCAGAGGGACAAAGCGUCUGGGCCGUGGGCAGUGUCCCACACUAUUCGGGAGGUGGUCGGAGGCUCCGAAACUUCCUUUCAUCCAGUCCUUUCCAGUAUUUGAAGUUGUUGUCAAGAUGCUGCAUUAGAUCAGGCAGGUCUACGAAGGCUGAAGAAAAAGAUGGGAAUGCAACAUCCUUUCACAGCCUCGGUUUAUAGGGUUUCUAGUGAGAGCAUUUUAAGGAAGAGGGACAGAAGAAGUAUGCAUUUGCAUAAUGCUAAAAAGACCUGGGCAAACACACCCAGAAACCUGAAUGAACGGGGUUUACUGAAGUUAAAUCCUGUACGCAGUGCCAGCACCUCCUCUGGGGCCGACCUGUCCAGCUGGUAACUUUGAGCACCCCUACGCCCCUGAGACGGGAGCUCAUCUCCCCCUGACUGGAUCUGACUUGGAGCCCCCGCAGCCCCUCCCCACAGAUGCAGCCUUCAGGACACAAGAUGCCCAGUAUGCAUGGUAUCUUUUCCUGUCCAUUGACUUUGAAAGAUGUAUCAAAAUCUGUUGGUACUGCUGGGUGGACUGCAGAGUGGUGCUGCCAGCCUGGAAGCUACUCUUUCAUGUUCUUCUGCCCUGACCCCCUGGACAUGGCUUUCAGUCUCUCAGAAAGAGCCCCAUGCGCUGACAACAGACAUGAGGAACGUGGCUGUUAAGCGGAACAGAGGAUUCAGCCCAGACUGACAGGUAUGUGGUUUCCUGCUGUGGCACGGGGUCAACCAGGAGCGGUGGCCAGGUAACAAUCAGCCCUAUCCAAAAUGGCAGGGCAGGAGCCAAUGACAGGGGCUGGUGUGGGCACUUCUGCACCGAAAGUCCUUGGAAAGGGAGCAAGGCCGAGGGUAGGCCGACAAACUGGGAGAACAGGGAAAGGAAGGAUUAGAGUUCUCAAGAGGUUUCAACAUCAGGUUAAACCAGAGAUAAGUGUCAGGGGUAACAUGCUAUUACAGAAGACAAAGGCCAUGGCCAAAGAAAUGAGUUGCAUAAGUAAAAUGCAGUUAGAAGUCAAGGAAUUGGGAUCCUAGCCUGAGAGGGUAAGUCAUCCCUGUGUGUGGCAAAUACCUCGGGGGUGGUGACAGGAGCUGGUGGAGGGAAGGUGGUGGAGAAGACAGGGCCACUGCCAGGAUGUCCAGUGGCUGUGUGGUAGGGCAGCUGUGUGGGCCUUAGAGGAAGGCAGUUCAUGAAAAUAUGGAUUCUCCAGGCUACUGACCUCACAAUAAAUCCAGCAUAACAGGUACUAGUUAUCAAGUGCCAGGCCCGUCGGUCCUGCGUAUUGAGAUAUCUAUGACAUGGAAACGGUGGAGUAGAGCUGGGACGGGGGUUCGGGUCUGUCUGCUUCCUCAACUGGGGCCAGGCCAGAGGUUUAAUGCUUUUCUUGCCAGGUGCCUGUCGUGGACUCCAUUCCUCAAAUGCAGACAUAAGGGGCAAAAACAAUGUCAUAAGGUCUUUCCCAACCCCCACUUUCCUGUGACAUGUGGACCAACAGGGGUCAGCUGCUGCUGCUGCCAUGAAACGUACCCAGUGGAGUGGCUGCUGAGAGACCUCAAGGGCUCCGACUAGUCCCAUGAUGUCCAAGAAAGGCGGAGGGCACCGGGGUGAAAAGCGCAGGAACGGUCUACCUGUCCCAAGUUAGUUUACCCAAAAUUUGACUUUCCCUUCAAGUUUUUGCAUCUAUUUAGAUGUCUUAUUUUUUUUCUGCCAAGUUUUUUACACUUUAAUUUUUUAACCAAUAAAAACUUAAAUUCAGUGAGCCCACUGAGGGAACCCUUCUGUGGCUCGUAUCCUAGCCCGUGUGUUUCCACAACUCAGAGGCACAGGGACCCCAAACACAGGUUCUCGCUGCAGUAAGUAUCCCUUACCUCACUUUCUUCUAGUGCUGCCAAGGGUUUGUUGAUGCUGUUGACGAAUUUGUUAACAUGUUCGAAGUGCUUUGUCAUUUCUGUGGCUAGGACCAUGUCAAUAAUCCCCUGGCGCAGUGUCCGAUAGUCAUUCCUGUUUCAGACAAAUCAGAGGCUGCUGUAGAUGACUUAUCCAGACAGGUACUCCUGAAAACAAUCUGUCACCUGGGUUAGGUGUCUGGUGCAGUUGCAAGGCCCACUUUGAAAGAACGUGGAAUCACAGGUGAGUGUCUUGUUCAGGUUCUCCUUGCUCAUGAACCAAAGUUAACAUCAAAGGCUAUGGGCAAGACUUUAUUCUAAGACCUAUAUGUAUCAUACUAUAGAAUGACAACAAGAUAAGCAUUACAGCUAUAAAGUAAGAUAGAAUGUAGUAGGGGUGAACAAAGCCAGUUCUCUUAAUGAAGAUGGAGCUCUGGGUUAUAAGGACUGCACCCCACACGAAGGUACCUUAAGACCCAACAAUUUUAGUGCCCAGAGAACUUUGAGAGCAGACCUUCCAAUAACUGCAAAAAUCACAGGGAGCACUUGACACCUUUUCUUCUACCCCUUGGUUUUGUUUUAGUAUCUUUAAAAAUUCAUAUUUUUGAAGAGGCAAUUCAAAAUUUGAAAGGUAUAAAAGACUAUGAAAAAAAACUCUAUUCAACUCCUUUUCUGCUGUCAUCCAAUUCGUUUCCCUGGAAAGUUAGCAGGGUCCUGUGUAGGUUUCCAUUGAUAACUGAUGUAUCUAUAAGCAAAUAUGAAUAAAAAUGACUUUUAACUAUACCUCUGAAAUCCUAGAACAUGGCAGAAGGGAGUUUUGUAAAAUUGGGAAUCCCCUUUUAAAAAACUUCCUUUAUAAAAUCCAAAUGAAUCAGUAUUUUCUUCAACUGCUAUUCACUAAGUUCCUACCAUGUACUAGGCACUGUGUUAGACGCCGAGAGUACAGUGAUAAACAAGACAUGACACCUGUGACCUUGAAGAGCUUAAGAAUCUAAUCAGACAUUAAACAAAUUAUUAUUUUAUAAAAACUGUGAUAUGUGCUAUGAAGGAACCUGGAACUGAAUAAUUAGAGGGUUUAACUGAGUGUGAGAGAUCAAGGAUGGCUUCCCCAAGGAAGUGACAUGUAAACAGAGACAAUGACAAGGAAAGGUUUGCUGGGCAAGGAGGGCGGAGUAUUCCAGGCAGAGCUGUAAGAUGUCUACAUCUUCUGGGACUGAACCUUGAAAACAGGUAAACUGGUAAAUCUAUAAAAGUGGAUCAGCGGUUGCCUAGGGCUAGGGCAGCUGAGGGGGAAUGGAAAGGGACUGCUUAUGAAUUUGAGGUUUUCUUGAGAGGGUAAUAAACAUGUUCUAAAGCUGACUGUGAAUAUACUGAAAACCACUGUAUGCUUUAAAUGGGUGAACUGUAUAACAUGUGAAUUCUCUCCAUAAAGUUGUUAAAAAAAAGAGACCAACCUGCUUCCCAAUUGUUGUUCUUACCUCUCCAUGUUUUUAAAGAUAUUGCAUUUAUCAUCUCCAGUGGUCAGCUGGAAGGCCAAGGCCGCGUGGUGGCUCUCCAGCACAGCAAUGUCAUUGUACAGAAUGGCGAGCUCACUGCCAGCAUUGCACAGGAAGGAGCUGGUUCUCCCAGGGUGAUCGACAUCAUGAAUGGUGGCUGCAAUGAGCGCAGCAACCUUGUCCACUGGAUCUAAAGUUUCCUGAAAACAAGAGAGCUUUUAAAAACUAGCGUAUGACAUGAAGGAAAAGAAGCCUUCUGUAUAGUUUUCUUUCUCACCUAUUACGUUACACUAAGCAUACUUCAGAUUUCUAAGAAAAGCAUAUUGUGUGAGCAAAGCCAGUUUUCCUCUCUCCACUCUGAAACAGUUACAUCUUUGCAUGGGUUUAUUAGGAAACAUCUGAUUCUCAGAGUCUCAUACAAGUUAAGGACUUACCAGAGUGCAGUGUGUCCUCAACAGAUAGGAGUCACCUCCUCAGCCAGCCACUUCCUCUAAACCCAUCACAUAAAAAAGUCCUUAUCCUGAGAUACUUAGACCAACAUAAACUAAUAUUACUAAAUAAGAAAAGAGUAAUUUUUAAAAAUAUAUAUCAUAUUAAUUGGGGACUGGUCUUAUUUGAUCUAAAUUAAAAUUCAAUUUUAACUUUAAUUGGGUGAAUGGUAUGUAGGUUACGUUUCAAUAAAUACUUUUAAAAAUUGUA